GAGAUAGAUAAUAAUCUUAUCCAUGUAGAAGACCUCAAAGAUGUGCACAAUUGCACAAAUAUCGAUCAUUCAUUACCUACAAGUACAAGUAAUUUGAGCUAAACUAUAUGCAAAAAUCUACUCUUCACUUGCCUUGCUACCAAGUGUUAUAAGCAAAUUAACUAACUAGCUCUAUCAAAGAAAACAGUGAGGAAAUUUCGUCCAACAACUUUCUUCCUUGCAAAAAUAUAAUAGCGAUCAAAAUGGCAGUACGUACAUAUAUGUAUACUUUUUAAAUUUGUCAUUUUUAUCAUUUGGUUUUGAUCAAACUAAGGAAGUAAAAAUGAUACAAAACCGUUUGAUUCUUUGCAAUGGAAGCUAUGAAGAUACGAGGAAGGUUCUGACCUUUUAAUGUUUACGGAUGUUGCUGCUCGAUCCCUUUUAGCUAUCAUCUACACAGCAGUACUGGAUCAUUUCCACGUCAAGACUUGCCUUACCACCUUAACAUGUGGAGAGGAAGGAAGCUGUUUUACGUGCUCCCAUGUUCAUAUUAUCAUGGUAUUCUUGCAGUCUCCAACGUUCAUCAUCAUUUGGGAUCGAUAUUCAUCUAUAUAUAAUGUUUUACAAUUAUGAACCCACUGAUAAAUACAUAUAUUUUUUUCCGAGGAGUUCCUUCAUACCCCUAAAGCACAAGAACUUUGAGUGGUUUCCUAAUGUUUUAUUCCUCUUUUUUCACGACCUUGAGAUUAGAAUUUGUGAGAGAGAAAUAUCCAAGAUUUAACUAUAGAAAAUUUUUUAUUUGAGUUGCAAUAAUCUUUUUAAUUUUUUUUUAAAAUUUGAAUAAUCAAUAUUGUUGAGAAUCCAAUUGGAUUGUAGUCAAAUUCUAAUACUCAUAAUAGCCUCAUGAUAAAUGGCCUCAUCAUGAAAUUAAUUGUCUAACAUUUGUUUGGUCAUCAAUCAUCAUGGUAUGGGAGAUUAUGAUUUUUUAAUAAUUGGAUUUUUUUUUCAAGAAGUUACAAGUAAAAAAAAGUUACAAUCGUAAUCGAAAAUGUUAUUUAACAAAUGGA
rnacentral:lncRNA from 1 species